rnacentral:rRNA from 1 species
AUGGGACAAAAAAUAAAUCCACUCGGUUUCAGACUUGGUACAACCCAAAAACACCAUUCCUUUUGGUUCGCACAACCAAAAAAUUAUUCUGAAGGUCUACAGGAAGAUAAAAAAAUAAGGGAUUGUAUCAAGAACUAUAUACAAAAGAAUAGGAAAAAGGGCUCGAAUAGAAAAAUAGAAUCAGACUCAAGUUCCGAAGUAAUUACACAUAAUAGAAAAAUGGACUCAGGUUCAAGUUCCGAAGUAAUUACACAUAUAGAAAUCCAAAAAGAAAUCGAUACGAUCCACGUCAUAAUCCAUAUUGGAUUCCCAAAUUUAUUAAAGAAAAAAGGAGCAAUCGAAGAAUUAGAGAAAGAUCUACAAAAGGAAAUUAACUCUGUAAACCAGAGAUUUAAUAUUUCUAUCGAAAAAGUUAAAGAACCUUAUAGACAGCCUAACAUUCUUGCAGAAUAUAUAGCUUUCCAAUUAAAAAAUAGAGUUUCAUUCCGAAAGGCAAUGAAAAAAGCUAUUGAAUUAACUAAAAAAGCAGAUAUAAGGGGAGUAAAAGUAAAAAUUGCGGGUCGUCUCGGAGGAAAAGAAAUUGCACGCGCCGAAUCCAUUAAAAAGGGUAGACUUCCCCUCCAAACAAUUCGCGCUAAAAUUGAUUAUUGCUGCUAUCCAAUUCGGACUAUCUAUGGAGUAUUAGGUGUAAAAAUUUGGAUAUUCGUAGACGAAGAAUAA